CUACCCUUAAGCUCGGGAUAACCCACCGAAAGGUGAGCUAAUACCGGAUAAUAUCUUUCCUCAUAAGGGGUAAAGAUCAAAGGUGGCUUCGGCUAUCACUUAUGGAUGGGCCUGCGUCUGAUUAGCUAGUUGGUAGGGUAACGGCCUACCAAAGCGAUGACCAGUAGCUGGUCUGAGAGGGCGAUCAGCCACAUUGGGACUGAGAUACGGCCCAGACUCCUACGGGAGGCAGCAGUGGGGAAUUUUGCGCAAUGAGCGAAAGCUUGACGCAGCAACGCCGCGUGAUCGAAGAAGCUCUGCGGAGUGUAAAGAUCUGUCAUAGGGGAAGAUAAGUCCCGUUAUUAACACCAUCGGGAUGUGACGGUACCCUAUAAGAAAGCCCCGGCUAACUUCGUGCCAGCAGCCGCGGUAAUACGAGGGGGGCAAGCGUUGUCCGGAUUUAUUGGGCGUAAAGAGUUCGUAGGCUGGUUGGUCAGUCGAAAUUGAAAUCCCACGGCUUAACCGUGGAUCCGGUUUCGAUACUGCCAAUCUUGAGUGAGGUAGAGGUAAGCGGAAUUCCUGGUGUAGCGGUGAAAUGCGUAGAUAUCAGGAGGAACACCAAAGGCGAAGGCAGCUUACUGGACCUAUACUGACGCUGAGGAACGAAAGCGUGGGGAGCAAAACAGGAUUAGAGACCCUGGUAGUCCACGCCGUAAACGAUGAGUACUUGGUGGUGGGGGA
rnacentral:rRNA from 1 species